rnacentral:hammerhead_ribozyme from 1 species
GUGCUGCUGAAGAGUCCCAAAAUAGGAAGAAGCAGCUGUCCAGUAC